rnacentral:rRNA from 1 species
UACGUAGGGUGCGAGCGUUAAUCGGAAUUACUGGGCGUAAAGCGUGCGCAGGCGGUUUUGUAAGCCAAGUGUGAAAUCCCCGGGCUUAACCUGGGAAUGGCAUUUGGGACUGCAAGGCUGGAGUGUGGCAGAGGAGACUGGAAUUCCUGGUGUAGCAGUGAAAUGCGUAGAUAUCAGGAGGAAUACCGAUGGCGAAGGCAGGUCUCUGGGCUAACACUGACGCUCAUGCACGAAAGCGUGGGGAGCAAACAGG